GAGAGAGAAGAGAGAGAG
rnacentral:sRNA from 1 species